GACGAACGCUGGCGGCGUGCUUAACACAUGCAAGUCGUACGGUAAGGCCCUUUCGGGGGUACACGAGUGGCGAACGGGUGAGUAACACGUGAGUAACCUGCCCACAACUUUGGGAUAACGCUAGGAAACUGGUGCUAAUACUGGAUAUGUGCUCCUGCUGCAUGGUGGGGGUUGGAAAGCUCCGGCGGUUGUGGAUGGACUCGCGGCCUAUCAGCUUGUUGGUGGGGUAGUGGCCUACCAAGGCGGCGACGGGUAGCCGGCCUGUGAGGGUGACCGGCCAUAUUGGGACUGAGAUGCGGCCCAGACUCCGACGAGAGGACGCAGUGGGGAAUAUUGCACCAUGGGCGCCAGCUUGAUGCAGCAGCGCCGCGUGUGGUAUGACGGCCUUCGGGUUGUAGAACGCCUUCAGCAGGGACGAAGCUUUUUGUGACGGUACCUGCAGAAGAAGCACCGGCUAACUUCGUG
rnacentral:rRNA from 1 species